GUCCACGCCCUAAACGAUGUCGACUGGUUGUUGGGGAAGGAAACUUCCUUAGUAACGAAGCUAACGCGUGAAGUCGACCGCCUGGGGAGUACGGCCGCAAGGUUAAAACUCAAAGGAAUUGACGGGGACCCGCACAAGCGGUGGAUUAUGUGGAUUAAUUCGAUGCAACGCGAAAAACCUUACCUACCCUUGACAUGUCCGGAAGCCCGAUGAGAGUCGGGUGUGCCCGAAAGGGAGCCGGAACACAGGUGCUGCAUGGCUGUCGU
rnacentral:rRNA from 1 species